GACGAACGCUGGCGGCGUGCUUAACACAUGCAAGUCGAACGGAAAGGCCCUGCUUUUGUGGGGUGCUCGAGUGGCGAACGGGUGAGUAACACGUGAGUAACCUGCCCUUGACUUUGGGAUAACUUCAGGAAACUGGGGCUAAUACCGGAUAGGAGCUCCUGCUGCGUGUUGGGGGUUGGAAAGUUUCGGCGGUUGGGGAUGGACUCGCGGCUUAUCAGCUUGUUGGUGGGGUAGUGGCUUACCAAGGCUUUGACGGGUAGCCGGCCUGAGAGGGGGACCGGCCACAUUGGGACUGAGAUAGGGACCAGACGCCUACGGGAGGCAGCAGGGGAGAAUAUUGCACAAUGGGGGGAAGCCUGAUGCGGAAACGCCGCGUGCGGGAUGCCGGCCUUCGGGUUGUAAACCGCUUUCGCAGGUGACGAAGCGUGAGUGACGGUAAUGGGUAAAGAAGCACCGGCUAACUACGUG
rnacentral:rRNA from 1 species